CCUACGGGAGGCAGCAGUGGGGAAUAUUGCACAAUGGAGGAAACUCUGAUGCAGCGACGCCGCGUGAGUGAAGAAGUAUUUCGGUAUGUAAAGCUCUAUCAGCAGGAAAGAAAAUGACGGUACCUGACUAAGAAGCCCCGGCUAACUACGUGCCAGCAGCCGCGGUAAU
rnacentral:rRNA from 1 species